UACAGAGGGGGCAAGCGUUGUUCGGAAUUACUGGGCGUAAAGAGCGCGCAGGCGGCUGGUCAAGUCCGAUGUGAAAUCUCCCGGCUUAACUGGGAAACUGCAUCGGAAACUGAUCGGCUUGAAGGUGGGAGAGGGUAGUGGAAUUCCCGGUGUAGUGGUGAAAUGCGUAGAUAUCUGGAGGAAUACCGGUGGCGAAGGCGACUACCUGGCCUGUUCUUGACGCUGAGGCGCGAAAGCUAGGGGAGCAAACGGG
rnacentral:rRNA from 1 species